AUCGCUUCUCAGCCUUUUGGCUAAGAUCAAGUGUAGAAUGAGUGCCAUCUUUUUUUUAAAAAAUUAUUUAUUUAUUUAUUUAUAUUUAUAACUGUGUUGGGUCUUCGUUUCUGUGUGAGGGCUUUCUCUAGUUGUGGCAAGGGGGGGGCCACUCUUCAUCGCGGUGUGCGGGCCUCUCACUAUCG